GAUGAACGCUGGCGGCGUGCCUAAUACAUGCAAGUCGAACGCUGAAGGAGGAGCUUGCUCUUCUGGAUGAGUUGCGAACGGGUGAGUAACGCGUAGGUAACCUGCCUGGUAGCGGGGGAUAACUAUUGGAAACGAUAGCUAAUACCGCAUGACAACAGUUAUUGCAUGAUAACUGUUUAAAAGGGGCAACUGCUCCACUACCACAUGGACUUGCGUUGUAUUUGCUAGUUGGUGAGGUCACGGCUCACCAAGGCGACGGUACAUAGCCGACCUGAGAGGGGGGUCGGCCACACUGGGACUGAGACACGGCCCAGACUCCUACGGGAGGCAGCAGUAGGGAAUCUUCGGCAAUGGACGGAAGUCUGACCGAGCAACGCCGCGUGAGUGAAGAAGGUUUUCGGAUCGUAAAGCUCUGUUGUAAGAGAAGAACGAGUGUGAGAGUGGAAAGUUCACACUGUGACGGUACCUUACCAGAAAGGGACGGCUAACUACGUG
rnacentral:rRNA from 1 species